rnacentral:misc_RNA from 1 species
AUCCCAAGCCUUCUGGCGAUCUCUUGAAAUAAAGCUUCACGGCAUAAUCCCUCCAUGUCUUUCAAAGAAGAACAUGUGUUUUAAGGUGUCAUGGAUUUUGAAGACCAUGGAUUUUGAAGACCAUGGAUUUACUUAAAACUUAUGGUUUUUAAAAAGAGCUUUAAAAGGAAAUGACUAAAAAGCUUUUCCAGUGAUUUAAGACGAUACCGGGGAAGGUUUUCCGGUUUAUCCCGGAGGGCUUGUAGCUCAGUUGGUUAGAGCGCGCGCUUGAUAAGCGUGAGGUCGGAGGUUCAAGUCCUCCCAGGCCCACCAAUUUAGGAUUGCUUAACCCACUAAAAACCCUCUCUAUAAGAAAAAUAUCUAUCGUUAGAGAAAGCUCUUUAUAGUCUGGCUCUUUAUAGUCUAGAAUUGUCAAUGAAAUGUUCGGUAAAAUAAAAAUGUUCGGUAAAAUAUCAAAUAUAUUUUGCGAAAAUACUGACAAUAAUACUGACAAUAAUAAAGCUCUUGACAAUAUAAAGCUACUGACAGACUGUCGCUUUAAGGGUUUUGAAGCGUUUUCUUUUAGGGGCCGUAGCUCAGCUGGGAGAGCACCUGCUUUGCAAGCAGGG